rnacentral:rRNA from 1 species
GCAAUCGCCUACAUGAAGUCGGAAUUGCUAGUAAUCGCGGAUCAGCAUGCCGCGGUGAAUACGUUCCCGGGCCUCGUACACACCGCCCGUCACACCAUGAGAGCCGGUAACACCCGAAGUCAGUAGCCUAACCGCAAGGGGGCGCUGCCGAAGGUGGGAUUGGUAAUUGGGGUGAAGUCGUAACAAGGUACC